AGUGAACGCUGGCGGUAGGCCUAACACAUGCAAGUCGAACGGCAGCACAGAAAGAGCUUGCUCUUACGGGUGGCGAGUGGCGGACGGGUGAGGAAUACAUCGGAAUCUACUUUUUCGUGGGGGAUAACGUAGGGAAACUUACGCUAAUACCGCAUACGACCUACGGGUGAAAGCAGGGGAUCUUCGGACCUUGCGCGAUUGAAUGAGCCGAUGUCGGAUUAGCUAGUUGGCGGGGUAAAGGCCCACCAAGGCGACGAUCCGUAGCUGGUCUGAGAGGAUGAUCAGCCACACUGGAACUGAGACACGGUCCAGACUCCUACGGGAGGCAGCAGUGGGGAAUAUUGGACAAUGGGCGCAAGCCUGAUCCAGCCAUACCGCGUGGGUGAAGAAGGCCUUCGGGUUGUAAAGCCCCUUUGUUGGGAAAGAAAAGCAGCAGGUUAAUACCCCGCUGUUCUGACGGUACCCAAAGAAUAAGCACCGGCUAACUUCGUG
rnacentral:rRNA from 1 species